CACUUGCUGAGGUACAACAUAAUUGUGCUGCAUCUUGAUCAGUAGGACCGAUUCUGGUCAUUUGCAGUGGCUGCUGUUCAGUAUCUCCCGAUUGGCUUUUGUGAUCCCUACACUAUUAAAUACUUAGUGGGUAAUGAAUAAGAACCUUUCAUGAAUGUGUAACUCCAGGUUACACAUUUGUAAUUGUGAAUUCCAGAUUUAUGUAUAUUUAUAAUGGCACGCUUUUUUAUUGUAUCAAACUGGAAUAGGAUGGCAACAGGUUAAUUAGUUGUACAAAUGGUUUUUUUCUCCAAAGUGCUGUACUAUUUUUACUUGUAGCGCAUGAGUGAAAAACCUUCCAGAAGCAGAAACUGGAGUAUUUCUCCAUAAAAUGGGAAAUACGGGGUGAUACUCCAUCAUCCUUUUAAAACUGAGUAAUUUGCAGAAUUUGGGACAUUGGCACUGAAGUAUGGGCUGCUUACCUGUAACCAUGUUUCUCCAAGUGGUCACCUUGUCUCUAGAAUUUUCCGAAACACAAGCACAGGAGUAACCGUAUAUGUGAUUUACACUUGAUCACGAGGGAGACCCUACUACUUCUAAUGGCAUAUCUGGAAAUAUCUUUUGAAACCUUAGUCUCUUGCUGACACUUAUGGGGAUGCAUCAGAAAUUUUCCAGAGGCCUAAAUACAUGUAUUUGGGUUGUUAUAGGUUUUCCGGGCUAUAUGGCCAUGUUCUAGAGGCAUUUUCUCCUGACGUUUCGCCUGCAUCUAUGGCAAGCAUAAAAAAAUGCCUCUAGAACAUGGCCAUAUAGCCCGGAAAACCUACAACAACCCAGCGAUUCCGGCCAUGAAAGCCUUCGUAUUUGCUUUUUUGUUUUUUGAUCAGUCACUUCCAACUCUUCGUGAUCUCAUGGACCAGCCCAUGCGAGAGCUAAAUGUAUUUGCUACUAUAUCACAUAUUUUAGAAAUGUAGACUUUGCUUUUAUUUUUUGGUAUUUGAGGUUUUUUCUUACUCCAAUGAAUUCUUAGAACUGUUCGGAAAUUUCUGAAAAACUGACAUUAAUUGUUCUGGGCGGGUGGCAUCUGUUCUAUUCCGAGUUCAGCUCUAGCCCAUCUUUUUUUUCUCUUCCAGCUGUAUUUCUUCCAGAAACCAAACACCACCAUCAUCCCCCCUGUCCCCCAAACAACAAUAGCCCAGCAUAGUAGAAGCACACAUCCUCACCUGAACACCUCAGCCCACCUGUCGAUAUGAAGGAGGAUGCUGGCAGGAGUCUCAAAUGGCAUACAGUUUGGAUUGUGAAUGUCCAGCCUCAGGGGAAAGCUCAUGGACAGAGGAGAGUGCACAAAUGCUAAAGCACUCCAUCUCAAGGGGCAUGAAACACCUGGCCUGGAAUAAGGAGACUCCAGUGGACCGAGAGGUGUCCCACUGCCAUUUAUUUCCAACCAGAGCAGCAAGGUGUCCAACUUAAUUCAGCAAAAGGCUCUGCGAACUGCUACUUGACUGGGUCAGCAGUCCUUUGCUCCCCUAUAGCAGCAUGGGACUGUAGCAGCAAUAUGCGACUAAAGAAUGGAGCUGGGUGGAGCAUUGGCUGCUGUGCCCCUUUGAGGUAAACCUAAGAUGUUGAUGUGGUUGAUCUCUUAAUAGUAAGGAACGAGGUGACAGUCUUCAGAUAAAUUUGUGCACAUCUUGCUGUUUGGUGAGGAAUGACAUUGCCAACUGCAGAAGUAACGGCAUGUCUGCGGGUGUUUUUCUCCCCACUGAUGGGAAGAGGGGUGAUUACUAUAAGGAUUACUUUAAUGAAGUGUUUUGAUUUUUGUUUUCUAUGCAAAUCUAAUUUAAAUUAAACAGUUCUGAAAGCA